ensembl:lncRNA SMIM14-DT SMIM14 divergent transcript
ACUCUUAGCCACAAGACCCGGAUCUGCCGGCUCCCGCGGGCGGCGGCGCAACAGAUUGCAGCGCCUGGAGACUCCAGCUGCCCCGCCUGCCGAGCAUGCGCAUGCCCAGCGCCUGCCCUGUGCGUCCCGGGAAGCCGGGCGGGAGCCUGCGGCUUCGGACGCCUACGACACGCUGCAGUCUCCACACCACUGUGCUCGAACAGCUCUAUGAAGAGGCCUAUGUGGAGAGGAGAAAAAGCCUCCACCAACAGCCAGCACCAACUUGCCAGCCAUAUAUGAACUCUCGCUAUGUUGCCUCGGCUGGUCUCAAACUCCUGGGCUCAAGUGAUCCUCCCACUUCGGCCUCCCAAAAUGGCGUCUUGCUCUGUCACCCAGGCUGGGGUGCAGUGGUGUGAUCUCAGCUCACUGCAACCUCUGCCUCCUGGGUUCAAGCAAUUCUUCUGCCUCAGCCUCCCAAAGAGCUGUGAUUACAGACGUGUGCCACAAUACCCGGCUAAAGAUGGGGUUUUGCCAUGUUUCCUAUGCUGGUCUGGAACUCAUGAACUCAACAGAUUGUCCCACCUCAGCCUCUCAAAGUGCUGGGAUUACAGCUCAAAGCACCUGUCAUAAAAAUAUUAACUUGUAAUAAAAGUGUUUAGUAACACUAAUAUGUGAUGGCAAUUUCAGGAAAGUCAAUGUUCUGAGCAAGAAGAACAAGGAACAGAAGGUAUAAUGAUAACAGAUGAGAGAGGAAAAAGCAGACUCAAUCAACUCCUACUUUUCCAUCAUUUUUCCGUUACAGAGAAUUAUCCUCAAAUUAGAAGGAGUAGGACCUACAUGGUAAAGAAAAAAUUUACGUGCAAGGCAGAUGAGGAAGUAAGAGAGCAUCCAGCCCCUUCACACAACUUCAUUCUCUGUCUUACCGAAAGAAUGUGAAAUGUGGUGGUAGCUUUACUGGGGACAGGAGAGGUGCCAGAAGUUUGAAGAUGGACUAAUCUCCUUGUUUUCUAAAAGAAGAACCUAUAAGUCUCUGAGCACAUUUUUCUUUGGCAAAAUUCUGGAAUGGAUAAUUAGACAAAUGGUUUGUGAAUCUUUAGAAAAGUGGCAAAAACAAGGCACAGCAUAAAUUCACUAAAAAAUAA